GAUGAACGCUGGCGGCGUGCCUAAUACAUGCAAGUCGAGCGAACAGACGAGGAGCUUGCUCCUCUGACGUUAGCGGCGGACGGGUGAGUAACACGUGGAUAACCUUCCUCUAAGACUGGGAUAACUUCGGGAAACCGGAGCUACUACCGGCUAAUAUAUUGAACCGCAUGGUUCAAUAGUGAAAGACGGUUUUGCUGUCUCUUAUAGAUGGAUCCGCGCCGCAUUAGCUAGUUGGUAAGGUAACGGCUUACCAAGGCAACGAUGCGUAGCCGACCUGAGAGGGUGAUCGGCCACACUGGAACUGAGACACGGUCCAGACUCCUACGGGAGGCAGCAGUAGGGAAUCUUCCGCAAUGGGCGAAAGCCUGACGGAGCAACGCCGCGUGAGUGAUGAAGGUCUUCGGAUCGUAAAACUCUGUUAUUAGGGAAGAACAAAUGUGUAAGUAACUAUGCACGUCUUGACGGUACCUAAUCAGAAAGCCACGGCUAACUACGUG
rnacentral:rRNA from 1 species